rnacentral:rRNA from 1 species
AUGAACGCUAGCGGCAGGCCUAAUACAUGCAAGUCGAGCGGCAAGUCGAGGAGUAAUCUAAGACCUAGAGCGGCGCACGGGUGCGUAACGCGUAUGCAACCUACCUUAUACUGAGGGAUAGCCCGGAGAAAUCUGGAUUAAUACCUCAUGGUACAUAUUGAAGGCAUCUGAGAUAUGUUAAAGAUUUAUUGGUAUAAGAUGGGCAUGCGUCUGAUUAGCUAGUUGGCGGUGUAACGGACCACCAAGGCGACGAUCAGUAGGGGUUCUGAGAGGAAGGUCCCCCACACUGGCACUGAGAUACGGGCCAGACUCCUACGGGAGGCAGCAGUAGGGAAUAUUGGGCAAUGGUCGGAAGACUGACCCAGCCAUGCCGCGUGCAGGAAGACGGCCCUCUGGGCUGUAAACUGCUUUUAUCUGGGAAGAAAAAGGCCAUGCGUGGCAAAUUGCCGGUACCAGAUGAAUAAGCACCGGCUAACUCCGUG